GGCUGGAUGGCCGAGCGGUCUAAGGCGCUAGACUCAAGAACAAAGUUCUUCUGCACUUAAGUGCGGUGUAUUCUAGUAUCGAAAGAUGCGUGGGUUCGAAUCCCACUCCAGUCA
rnacentral:tRNA from 1 species